rnacentral:lncRNA from 1 species
UAAGACACAAAAGAAUUGAUAACCAGAAAAUGUAUGUUAUUGCAGUUUUACAUUUGUUUUCGAUCCGAAAAAAGUAGGCAAACAAAGAGACUGUUAGCAAAUAUAUUUGUCCUUGAGCAAAGCUUAAUAAAGAAGGUUCAUUUUUUUUGUAUCAUGGAGGUCAAAAAAUGACAGCCGAAUAUAUCAGUCAAUGGCAGAAAAAAGCUACCAAAAAUCAAGGAUUGCUGAAGUGAUAUGUUGUCUGUUUGGCGUACAAUCUCAGAUUAAAAAACCCCAUAUUUACUUUGGCAAUCACAAGGUUCAUGUUGUUUUCUGUACCUACUUAUAUGAGCUGCAAAAUAAAACACAAACAAGAAUCACAGAUUAGAUUAAUCAAGAAGGUAUCUAAAAUAAACUAGAAAUUAGAGAAGGUAUCUAAAACAAACAAGCAUAGCCAAUGUUUUCCUCAAUCAUUCCUAAAAUUAGCAAGUUUGACUUCAACUCAAAUUACGGGACUAAAAUAUGAUGCAAUUCAAUACAGUGCCAGAAAAAUCUUAAUUUCAUCACCUAUAACAGUUCUUUGCAACAUGUCCAAAGGAAUUGAAGGAUUUCUACUAAAUUUACCAAUCAGAGAAAAGUAAAUACUAGAGGAAAGGCAGAAAAAGC